AACGAACGCUGGCGGAAUGCUUUACACAUGCAAGUCGAACGGCAGCACGGACUUCGGUCUGGUGGCGAGUGGCGAACGGGUGAGUAAUGUAUCGGAACGUGCCCAGUCGUGGGGGAUAACGUAGUGAAAAUUACGCUAAUACCGCAUACGAUCUAUGGAUGAAAGCGGGGGAUCGCAAGACCUCGCGCGAUUGGAGCGGCCGAUAUCAGAUUAGGUAGUUGGUGGGGUAAAGGCCCACCAAGCCAACGAUCUGUAGCUGGUCUGAGAGGACGACCAGCCACACUGGAACUGAGACACGGUCCAGACUCCUACGGGAGGCAGCAGUGGGGAAUUUUGGACAAUGGGCGAAAGCCUGAUCCAGCCAUUCCGCGUGCAGGAUGAAGGCCCUCGGGUUGUAAACUGCUUUUGUACAGAACGAAAAGGUUUCUACUAAUACUAGGAGCUCAUGACGGUACUGUAAGAAUAAGCACCGGCUAACUACGUGCCAGCAGCCGCAGUAA
rnacentral:rRNA from 1 species